GCCGCGCCUGCGCUCUCUGUUUCCUCUCGCCCUCCCUCCGGAUCCGUGUGUCCGCGUCCUUUCCCGUAUCGCGAGGCUUCCGUGUUGCGUACACCUGCUUGCGAGCGGCGAGGAAAGUGGCAGUGGAGCGACGGAUCUUUUGGCCUCUUUUCCUUUUUGCAAGAAGUAGAUGAUCCUCUCCUCUUGUUAGGCUGUCGCAUUUCAAAGGGCUUAGGUGUGCGUUCGUUCCCCCUCUGGCGCCCACGUCGCUGGGAUAGUCUUUGUCCAUGGCCAUUCAUCUUUUGUGAAGAGUCCGCGCAAGACCUUUGCCCACGUUUUAUUCGUGUUCGUCUUACUAUUGAAUGCGGGAGUUCCGAGUACAAAUGUGUUGUCAAACAGGUGACAUAUGUAUGCUCUAAAUGCAGAUCUUUUGUCCUAUGUAAUUCCGAAUGUUUUCUCCGGAGCUGGGUCGUUUUCAUUGUUUUGAUGAUGGUUUGUGCAAAGCAGAUUUCAAUUUCAGUGAAGUUACUUAGUUUUCACGUGUGGUUUGUGCUUUUUCUGUGCUAGGAAGUCUGUACUUACCCCAACCGCUUGAAGACUUUCUCCCGGAUUUUCUUCUAGAAUGUUUACAUCUCUCUGGGCCAAGCCACUAUCCUUGCUUAGACUAUUGUAUUGAACAAGUCUAUUCCCCACAUGGCAACAUAACUGACACGUCUACCUGAGAUUUGCAAUGAGCAUAACUCAAGUUUUGAAGAUGGUGCCACGUCUGAAUCUAGACUUCACAAUGUGCUGUGUGGCCUUGGGCAGGUAAGCAACUUCCCUGAGAGCUUCAUGGGCAAUCCAUCACCCAAGACUCCCAGUUCAGGGCGGUUGCUGUAUCAUGGUUUCAGCCUACACCAAAAGUAGAGGUGGGGAGGGUACUUACUGGACGCACUCAUUCGCCCGGCCUUUGUUCUGAUACUCCACGAUACAGCGGAUGAGUUGGUCAUUCUCCUCCAAGAGCUGAAAGGCCAGAGAAGGGGGCCAGUCAGCGUGUGAACGGGACAGCCGGGAACACUCCCCGCACCGCUCCCACCCCGACCCCCGCUGUCUCCAAUGCCGAGCUGUCCCGCCCCAGUGCCUUUGCCGACUCCGUUCCCGUCUCACUCCACACCCCUGCAAGUCGACCCCCUACGCACGCCACAAGCCUGAGCUGAGAUGCUGCUCCCUCCAGGAAGCUUCCCUCGGGAUCUCGACUAAGGAACGUGUCUCUGCCCGCGCUUAGCGCUCACCCGCUGGAUCGUCUCCUGGUUGACUUCCGCCUUGCCUUUCAGCCAGUCCGGUACGAAGGCCACCGACAUCCCGGAAAGCCGGGUGGGACCCCGGCCUCAGGCCCCGCGCACCCCCACGCCUGGAGCCAACCAGCAGCCCAGCCCCAGCCCCAGCCCCACUAGGCCACGGCGGGACCGACCCACGCUCUCGACGUCGAUUGGGUCCUCCCGUGGACCGGGCCCGGGCGCAACGUCAUUCGUGAUUGGGCGCGCCAGGGCGAUGCUCGGAGCGUCAGCCUGCGCCCCGCCCCUGGGGCGCGGAGCCGCCUGCCCCUGCGGGGCUUGUGCGCAGUCAGCGGGGCUAGCCUCGGGGGCGGGGCCGUGCGUCAGGGCCGCCUGCCCGGGUCACGGGGGCUUCGUGGCCGCAACCCGCUUUCGGUCUCCGAGUCUACGCCUCCCUCUUUCGACAUCACUGCGGUUCCAACAGAUCUGCGUCUGGAGCAUGAACCCUAGCCUUUGCCUCCUGCCAAGCCAAACCCUGCAGGGCCUAGGAAAACACUGGUGUUAGCUUUACUCUUUGCAGAGGGAGAAACUCGCAUACAUACCUAUUUUUCCUCUGGGUAGUAAUAAUGCUUAUUAGGUUUACAACCCUAGAAGGCACUAUUAUUUUCUCCAUUUUACAGACGAGAAAACAGGUGAAGUAACCUGCCUAAGAUCUAACGGCAAUUAAGGGCAAAGCUGGUAUCUGUACACAGGGAGUAUGGCUUUUUUAGAACCCUUGUUCUUUUUUUUUCUAUAAUCUUUUAUUUAUUUAUUUAUUCAUGAGAGACUCACAGAGGCAGAGACACAGGCACAGGGAGAAGCAGGCUCCCUGCAAGGAACCCAAUGCAAGACUCGAUCCUGCACCCCAGGUUCAUGACCUGAGCCAAAGGCAGAGGCUCAGCCACUGAACCACCCAGGUGCCCCUAGAAUCUUCAGUCUUAGCUAUUACUCCAUACUGCCCACGCAACAUACUGCAGAGGUGGUUUGCUGCAAGAGAAAAGAAGGAAGCUGGGCCCACCCACGUAGGCCAUAUAGUUAGUACCAGCAACCACCGAAACUCUGAAGUGGUUGUCUUCUCUCUGGUUUAGCCCAUCCCUUAAGGACCUGGGAACAAGGUUGGUUUUCCUUGCAGCACAGAAUGAGCGGCAGCCACAUCAUUUGGAAGACCUUGGAAAAAUUUUCUCAAAAAAGAUCUGGGGCAAUUCUUCCCCAGAGCUUCAUUUCCCUGAGUGGUGACCCUGACCCAGAGCACUCUCAUCUACUUUUGCUGGGCUCUCCCUCCACAGUCCCCUUAUUCAACCCUGAGAGGAGGCAGCUUUCAUCCCAUUUCACAGCUUUCAUACCAGUGAGAAACAUGGGGCAACAUACCUAAACUGGGCGAAGACUUUAGGGCUUCCUGAUUCCGAAGCCUGUCUUCACAAACCAGUCUCCCUCCCCAGGAAAAGUCCCCAGAGGUUCUGCAGAAAGCAGAGUGGGGCAGAGAAGGAUCAUUAGGAGGAGAAUUUAGGCCCUGCUUAGUCCUAUGCAGUGCUAUUGUUACACAAAUGAGGAAGGACCAUAACAGAGAUGAUGUAAAGAUUUUUAUUUAUUUAUUCAUGAGAGACACAGAGAGAGACAGAGACAUAGGCAGAGGGAGAAGCAGGCUCCCUUUGGGGAGCUGAUGUGGGACUUGAUCCUGGGACUCCACAAUCACGCCCUGAGCUGAAGGCAGACACUCAACCAUUGAGCCACACAGGUGUCCCCAGAGACGGAGUUAAGUUGGGGCAAGUGUAGGGGACCACCCUACCAACCUGGUCCAGCAUGCAGGGAACGCCCUCCAGGAGAAUAGACGUUUCAGUAUGAAGAGGAAGUGGAGGUUACCCAGGUGACAAGUAUCCAGAGCCCGGGCUCUCUCCUUAGAAUAAUCAGAGCCAUAGAUGGUUUUAGGCAAAAGGAAAAUGAAGUCAGAGAUGCAUUUUAGAGUUUUCCUGGCUGUAGUAUGGUGAAAGGUAGGGCAGCCAGACAAGAAGAAGAAAGGAGAAUCAAACAAACACAGAGAGGGCUAUUUGCAGCAGAUGUGUAGGCCAGAAAUGGUGGGAGCAGUGAAAAAAAGAAAUCUGUGCAUUUGAAAGACAUGAGGAAUAGACUCCACAGGCCCUUAGUGAAUUAAUGGGGGAGGGAGAGAGGAAUAAUUAGGGAUGACUUCUGGUGUCCUGGCUUAACCAACUGAGAGACUGGUAAUGCCAUUUAUUCAGACAAGGAACAGUAAAGGAGAAGCUGGACUGGAAGUGAGAGUGAGAAAGUUAGCCUUGACCAUAUACAUGCAAGGUGGUCAAAUGGAGAGGCAAGGCUGGCUAUUUGGGUCUGGAACUCAGGGUCAAGGGCCGGUUUGGUGAUAAAAGCAUCACUUUGAGAAGCAUCACUUGUGGAAACUGACUGGAACCGUGCAGGGGAUAAGACUACUCAAGGAGAGUGAGUUGGCUUCUCUCCUGGCCAAGGAAAAGAAACUACAAAGGAGAAUGGGGGCGGGGGGGGGGAGACUAGAGAUAUAAGAGGAAAUCCGGGAGCGUGGAGGGGUAGAGGCGAGACAGUCAUAUGGGAAAUAAGAGUGAGUAGGAAAGCAAGAUAGAACAGCAAUUACAAAUGCUGUGGAAAGGUCAAUCAAGGUAGAGACUAGGUCUUUGAUAUCCUUAAUGGAGGAAAUUCCAGCGAUAUGUCGAGGCAGCAGUGAGAAUUGUCAGGGACAGUGAAAUACAGGAAAGGUGAAGCAAAUGGAAUCUUUAGAGCAGGCCACUCUUUCCGAGAAGUUUGACUGUGAAGGGGAAAAGGGAACAAAGGUGGUAGUUGGGAGGGACAGAAGUUGGUGCAAGCUGAGGGCUAUCCCUUUAAUGGUUGUUCUUUUCUUGGUGAAAAAGGCACCUGGGAAAGUGAGGGGGAUGUUGAAGAGUGGAAGAUUGGGGAAGCAUGCAGGAGAUUUUGAGGUUGGUAUUCUGGAGAAUUGGAGAGAGGCAAACAUAGGACUGCUGGACAGUGUUGAGGACCUGGUGGAGGUGGGCAAUGCAUAUACAUAGCACUGAUCUGUGUGGUUGUAAGAUUUUUUUUUUUUCCAGCAGUACUUAUAGCUCAGGAACAGAGUUAGAGAAACCCAGAAGGUUGGAUUUUUUUUCCCCAGAGUUGGAGACCUGCCAGGCAGGUGUGACAGAAGAAUAAUUGCAGAAUGGAGGUAAGCAUAUUGGGAAAAAGGUGAUGGAAGUGAUAAACCUUGGACUUUCAGCUGAUGGGGAAGGAAAUAAAGAUUGGGGAGAGGUGAUACAUUGAACAAAGUAAGAAGGACAAGUGGAGUGGAGGCUUCUGCAGGCCAGAGAACAGUGGGCAGAUUUCUGAGAACAGUCAAGGGACAGAGAUCAGGUGUCUGCAUUUACAACUUCAAACGUGGAGCUCUUCUAUGGUGAUAAGCAGUUCAGGAUGUGAUCCUGAAGUGGAGGGAUGAAGAAGCCUGGGAAAGUCAAAAUGACCAGUGAUGGAGAGGAGGGCUAGGACUUCAGAUUCUACAUCUUACCUUUUAGCCCAGUCCACUCUGGUGCCCCAGUCACAUGAGCUGCACCAAUCAGAAGGCACAAAGCCCUAUUAUAAAGCACUCAAACUGUAGAUUCUGAGAACCCGGGGCUCCAUAUUCAAAAGCUGUAGGUCUGGUGCCAAUUUUUCCUUCCUCAUUCCAAGCCAGAGCCUUGUUUUCAUGACCGUGGUGAGAAGACCUCAUCUCCAUUCACGUGUGAAUGCACCUUGAGAGGGAAUCCUAGCCUCUUUCCUGGCACAUACAAUGAAGGGGUUUCAAUCUCCUUUACCAAUCAAAUCUCAUUGUUUUUAUCCUUUGUGUCUCUUAUGAUCUAGCCUCAUGAUCAUUUGUCACACAGGCCAACCCUGACUCAGUGGCGAUCCCUGGAGGUCAACUCUGUCAUAGCUCUCUUCUGUUUUCAUUUUGUAAUUUUUCUCUAUGUGAGGUCUGCUUCAAUUUCUGCCCAUUUGGUGAUGAUUUUCAAAAGUCUAUGUCCAGCCCAGACCUGUACAUGGAAUGCCAACCUGUAUGUUCGACUGUGUACAAUGACAUCCCAACCAGAAGUGUCAAAGGGUGCCUCAAAUUCAGUUUGUCUUAGAUGGAACUAGUGAUCAUUCGUCUCUCCAAAAUCAGAUCCUUUUCCAGCGUUCUUUAUAUCCAUGAAUCCCUCCACUUUCUACCCAGUCACUCAAGGCUGAACAGUGGCAUUGUCCUUGAAGCUACUUUGUUACCGUUUCACAUCCAGAUCAUCACCAAGUCUUGUUGAUUUUUCUCCUCUAUGUCUCUGCAGACUGCCUAGUUCUCACCCUCUUCACCAUCGCUCGGGUCUAAGUCCAAGCUCCAACUUCAUCCUCUCAUGCCCAGAUGGCUGCAUUGGCUUCCCAGCUCUCCUAUCAGAGAGAUAGGAGAUAGGUGGUCUUAGCUCUUCUAUUCUCUCUAGUGGCUCUCACCAUAUUCCUUACUCUCUAAACUCUGAGUUUUUUUAUCUUUCUUGUCUUUUUCUUCUUUGUGGUAA